AAAUGAAUAUCAUUUGUACCGUAGACAGUAGGUGCUCUUAGGAGCUUAAUAUCCUACCGAGGUAUUUGUACGAUAGAAAAACGCGUUCAAGGUCAUUUUGCGCGUUUUACGAUACCUCCAUGUCUACGUGGCAUGGAGGUUUUUUGUUGAUGCG
rfam:Geobacillus sp. WCH70, complete genome.